UAGACGGAUUCCAAACAAGCCGAUGCCCAGUCAGCCCACGAAUUCACCCUUACCGCCAUUAUACCCGCGUUGGCAGGUGCCAACAUGAUUUACGGCGUAG
rfam:Desulfobacteraceae bacterium 4572_123 ex4572_123_scaffold_5202, whole genome shotgun sequence.